UUGCCCUACGGGGCGCAGCAGUGAGGAAUAUUGGUCAAUGGGCUUACGCCUGAACCAGCCAAGUCGCGUGAGGGAAGACUGCCCUAUGGGUUGUAAACCUCUUUUGUCGGAGAACAAAACCCGGGACGUGUCCCGGACUGCGUGUAUCCGAAGAAAAAGCAUCGGCUAACUCCGUGCCAGCAGCCGCGGUAAUACGGAGGAUGCGAGCGUUAUCCGGAUUUAUUGGGUUUAAAGGGUGCGUAGGCGGUCCGUUAAGUCAGCGGUAAAAUUGCGGGGCUCAACCCCGUCGAGCCGUUGAAACUGGC
rnacentral:rRNA from 1 species